UCCUGGGCUCAGGAUGAACGCUGGCGGCGUGCCUAACACAUGCAAGUCGAGCGAGAAACCAUCGAUUGAAACUUCGGUAGAUAUUGAAGGCGGAAAGCGGCGGACGGGUGAGUAACGCGUAGGCAACCUGCCCUUUGCAGAGGGAUAGCAACGGGAAACUGUUAUUAAAACCUCAUAAUACCGUAAUGUCAAAUGAUGAAACGGUCAAAGAUUUAUCGGCAAAAGGAUGGGCCUGCGUCUGAUUAGUUAGUUGGUAGGGUAACGGGCCUACCAAGGCAGCGAUCAGUAGCCGACCUGAGAGGGUGAUCGGCCACAUUGGAACUGAGACUCGGUCCAAACUCCUACGGGAGGCAGCAGUGGGGAAUAUUGCACAAUGGGCGAAAGCCUGAUGCAGCAACGCCGCGUGAAGGAUGAAGGCCUUUGGGUCGUAAACUUCUGUCCUUGGGGAAGAAAAAAUGACGGUACCCCUGGAGGAAGUCCCGGCUAACUACGUG
rnacentral:rRNA from 1 species